UUCUCAGUUCUUAACCUACCUGGCCUCCCUCGUCUGCAUGCUCUGAACGGGCAGGAGGGUAAGAGAGAGAAAGCAAAACAGAGCUUAUAGCCAUGGAUUCCACACUUACUCCUCCCUCUUUCCUCCUUCCCUUCAUAGCCGCCUUCCUUCUCCUCUCAAUCACGCCGGCAUUAUCAUCACUUCCCACUCUCCCUACAACCUCCGGUGGACCGAUCAACUCCAACUCUGUCCUGGUAGCUCUCCUCGACUCCCAUUACACCGAGAUUGCGGAGUUGGUGGAGAAGGCUCUCCUUCUACAAACCCUAGAGGACGCCGUUGGUCGCCACAACCUCACUAUCUUCGCCCCUCGCAAUGAAGCCCUAGAACGCGAUCUCGACCCCGACUUCAGACGCUUUAUUUUUGAACCAGGCAACCUCAAGUCACUUCAAACCCUUCUUCUCUUCCACUUCCUUCCUUCCCGCAUUCCCUACGUUUCCUUCCCCUCCGCUCGCUACCGCACUCUCUCUGGAGACCAGAUUAUCCUUUCCUCCUCCAAAUCCGGCCUCCACCACGCUGAUCUUGCCGGCAUCGUACACCCCGACUCCAUCCUCCGCCCCGACGGCAUCAUCCACGGCAUCGAUCGCCUUCUCGUUCCCAGAUCUGUACAAGAGGACUUCAAUCGCCGGCGAAACCUUGCUGAAAUCUCCGCCAUUCUCCCCUCCGGCGCUCCAGAAGUCGACCCUCGAACCCACCGGCUUAAGAAACCUGCUCCUUCAUCCCCUGCAGGCUCCCCUCCCGCGCUUCCCAUUUACGAUGCCAUCGCUCCCGGUCCCGACAUUGCUCCAGCUCCAGCUCCCGGCCCCGGAUCCGGCAAGCACUGGUUCGACGGCCACCGCCAGAUCAAAGAUUUCAUCCAAACCCUAAUUCUCUACGGCGGGUACAAUGAAUUCGCCGACAUUCUAGUCAACCUCACCUCCCUCGCCACCGAGAUGGGCCGGUUGGUUUCCGAGGGCUAUGUCCUCACCGUUCUCGCACCAAACGAUGAAGCCAUGGCAAAACUCACUCCCGAUCAGCUCAGUGAACCCGGCUCGCCGGAGCAUAUUAUCAACUACCAUUUGAUCCCGGAGUAUCAAACAGAGGAGAGCAUGUAUAAUGCCGUUCGGCGCUUUGGGAAAGUGCGUUACGAUACGCUCAGGCUUCCGCACAAGAUUGUGGCAAGGGAAGCUGAUGGAUCGGUGAAGUUUGGACAGGGAGAGGGUUCCGCUUAUCUGUUUGAUCCGGAUAUAUACACAGACGGGAGGAUUUCGGUGCAAGGGAUCGAUACUGUGCUUUUCCCGCCGGAGGAUGACUCUCCGGCGCCGGCUUUCGGUGGCGGGAAGAAGGCUGCUCGUGUGUCCAGAAACGCAGUUUCCAAGCGCAACCGAGGAAAAUUGAUGGAGUUGGGCUGCCGCGUGCUCGGCGGCUUCAUCGAUGCGUCCCGCAUCUCCACCUGUGAAUAGAGAGCACAGAGAUGGCAGAAAAGCAAAUAUACGCAGAAGGUCCGAUCUGCGUAUGUGGAAAUAUGGUUUUUGGUUCAUUGGCAAGUCGUCGCCCCACGCCUCCGCCUCCUGCCAUCCUCCCGUUGUCGGCCGCACUCCACACCUGUAGCUGUCAACUGGAUGCUACGCCGCCACCAACCUAGUGCUGUCUGCCACCUGCAAGCUGCCCGUUGCCGCCAAACAAAAAAAUAUAUUUUUUGAAAAACCAAGAAAAAAAAUUAUAAAGACUUGCCUUUAUUUUGUAAUGAACAA